CCUACGGGGGGCAGCAGUGGGGGAUAUUGCACAAUGGGGGAAACCCUGAUGCAGCGACGCCGCGUGUGGGAAGACGGUCUUCUGGAUUGUAAACCACUGUCCCCAGGGACGAAAAUGACGGUACCUGGGGAGGAAGCUCCGGCUAACUACGUGCCAGCAGCCGCGGUAAUACGUAGGGAGCAAGGGUUGUACGGAAUUACUGGGUGUAAAGGGAGGGUAGGCGGGGAUGCAAGUUGGGUGUCAAAACUACCGGCUCAACCGAUAGUCGCACUCAAAACUGCAACUCUUGAGUGAAGUAGAGGCAGGCGGAAUUCCUAGUGUAGCGGUGAAAUGCGUAGAUAUUAGGAGGAACACCAGUGGCGAAGGCGGCCUGCUGGGCUUUUACUGACGCUGAGGCUCGAAAGUGUGGGGAGCAAACAGGAUUAGAUACCCGUGUAGUC
rnacentral:rRNA from 1 species